rnacentral:tRNA from 1 species
GGGCCUGUAGCUCAGUGGUAGAGCGCCACUCUUAUAAGGUGGAUGUCGUAGGUUCGAUACCUACCAGGCCCA